rnacentral:rRNA from 1 species
GUGAGGAAUUUUCCGCAAUGGGCGAAAGCCUGACGGAGCAAUGCCGCGUGAAGGAUGAAGGCCUAUGGGUUGUAAACUUCUUUUCUCAGAAAAGAAUUAUGACGGUAUCUGAGGAAUAAGCAUCGGCUAACUCUGUGCCAGCAGCCGCGGUAAGACAGAGGAUGCAAGCGUUAUCCGGAAUGAUUGGGCGUAAAGCGUCUGUAGGUUGUUUAAAAAGUAUUCUGUCAAAGAUUAGGGCUUAACCCUAGAUAGGCAGAAUAAACUUUUAAGCUAGAGUUUGGUAGAGGCAGGGGGAAUUCCCGGUGGAGCGGUGAAAUGCGUAGAUAACGGGAGGAACACCAAAGGCGAAGGCACUCUGCUGGGCCAAUACUAACACUGAGAGACGAAAGCGAGGGGAGCAAAUGGGAUUAGAAACCCCAGUAGUCC